CAGGGACUGAACCUGCAACCUCAUGGUUCCUAGUCGGAUUUGUUAACCACUGCGCCACGACGGGAACUCCCUAGUUUUCUUUUAUGACUAUUAAAAGUCGCUGCUGUGUUUGUAGCUAUAAUUAUGUCCCCCUGAGUUCUUUUUGCAGCCGUCAUUUCACCCCUUGUCUAAUGCUCACACAUGACUGGCCUACUAACACCUGUUGAACUGAUUGAACUUGGCUUCAGUCGUCCCUUGUCUCUGGCCAUUACUGUGUGUCCAUUGCUAGUUUUUCUUUCCAUCCACCCUGCAUCCCCCACAGGUAGGACUUUUUUCAAACUCUAUUGCCUCUCUUCUAUGCCAGUAUGUUUUUAUUAGUGAGCUCAUCCAGUUCAAGCUUGUGGUAUUGCCUUUAUUUAGAUGGUUCCCAGGCUAAGGGUCUAAUCGGAGCUGUAGCCACUGGCCUACGCCAGAGCCACAGCAACGUGGGAUCCAAGCCGCGUCUGCAACCACAGCUCAGGGCAACGCCGGAUUGUUAACCCACUGAGCAAGGGUAGGGACCGAACCUGCAACCUCAUGGUUCCUAGUCGGAUUUGUUAACCACUGCGCCACGACGGGAACUCCCCCUUCUUCUAAGCUUUAACUGCUGGCUUGGCACUUCUCCCCAGGGAUCUUGCUUAUGCCUUCAGUGAAGCACAACCAAAGUGAAACUCCUGUCUUGCCUCCACCCAAACCAGUUCUUCCUCCAGAUUCCUCCUGGUUUCUAUGAAUUGGCACUGCUGCUCAUCCAGGCUCAAAACUCCAGUCAUUUUGACUCUUCCUUCCAAGCUAUGUGCAGCCUACCCUCCUUUGUGUAACAUGACAACCCUGUCAUUGCCGUCAUCACCAUUUGCACUCAGUGCUUCGUACCCUGACGAUGGGAUCACCUCCUGCCUUUUUGGCUGACUCCAGUUCUUGUUCCAUGCAUGGUAAUCAGAUCACUCUGGAGCCUUGGGCUCCUUGGCUCGCCCUGCAGCCUGCUCAGAUAUGUCCAGACCCCAGCUCUCUGGGUCUUCCUUAGUGGUGCCCAUGCUGUCCUUCCUGCGCCUGGCCCUCCCUCACCGCCUUAACCGUGCUUGUUGUCCAGCUUGUCUUUUACCUCUGGUCUGAGUUUAUGUUCAGAUGUUUGCUCCUCCAUGGGUACCCCCUCCCCCAUCUCUGCCUGCUGACAGGAAGCCUGUCACGCGUGAUGUCGUACGGUUUUGUAUAGGUUUGGUGACCCACAGGACGCUUCUGUUUGUUUUUUCUAGGUCACUUACCUCACUUUGUGUUAGAGCCAUUUGGAUACUUGCUUAAUUAUCUCUUGCUAGAUGAUAAGCUCCUGGUAGGCAGGAACUGUUUCCAACUCUGCUUUUUCUUUUUUAUUGCCUCAGCGAUUAGCGCACUCAGCAAAUACCAUUGAAAAUAAUUAAAUGAUCACAGCUGUUGAUAGUUUCCUUCCGUGAAACUUCUUACACUCUCUUCCUAAGAAGUUUAACUACUCCAGUGCGAAUUAACAAUAUAGAAGUGCUGUAAAACUGCCUUUCCAGGGAUGUAGCUGCAAGUGUCCAAGUCAUGCUCCCGGGGUGAUUGGCGCUACUUUUCUAACAGGUGCUGUCUUUAUAGCCUAAUAAAGCUCUGCUGGAAGUGAGUUCAGGGGCAUCUGUGCAGUAGUGACAUUGAUUUCUGAUGUAGCAGCAGGGCUGGGUUGCACCUCUCUCUGUCCCCUCCCCAGCCCCUGUUAUUUCUUUUAAAUAAGAGAUUUCAACAACUCAUGAUGAUACUUUACAUUUUAAAAGUUAAUUUGUGUGAAUUCAGUAUGGAUUUAUAAAUGUAAGAAGUAAACCCCUCUAUCUUUGUCCCUUAAUCUAUAGAAUGAAGAUGAUUGAAAAGAAGAGAUUAAAUUUUAUUCACAUGGAAGAAAGCCAUUUAGACCAAUUUAAUGUGAAUCCACCAGUGUAUUUUAUAUGCAUGGUAUUGGUUAAGAUUUAAAUCACGCUUUUGUAGUUGAAGAAUCAUAGUUAACCUGUCCAUUAGCCUGUCAGCAAAUUAAAUUUAUGAAAUUCCAUCGUGAUAAAAGAUUUGGGAGUACAGUGGACAGAUGUAUGUAGGAAUUAUAUUAGGCAUUAAUCUGCUACCAUUUAUUAAAGUUAGGUUUCUCUUCAACCUAACAGCUUAAGUGCAGAGAUGGACUUGCCAGUGCGGUCUUUUUCUAUAGCCCCCCUCCCCUCUACUGCCCCCAACAGGUACGUUUUGAGUUCUUAAGGGUAUGACCUAGGCAUCUGUUUAGUAACCAGCCAGGCAGUAGUGAAUAAUGCAGGCCCAGAAGCUGCCUGCCUGACAAGUCCAGUCCCAUGAGGCCUUUGGAUGUAGAUUUAUAUCAUACAUAGAGUUCCUUUCUGCAAAAGAAAACAAUUUCUUUUGACAGUGUUUAUCUUUUUAAAGGAGAAAGGCAGGCAGCUCAUGUUCAGGUUAAUAAUCAUUUCAACAAUAAUCAGAACUUUAGGCUUUAGCAAUAUAAAAAUACAGCCUUUGAUGCAGACACAGGCCUUGAUCUGAGUCUCAGUUUCCUUAUCUCUGUAAAUAGGGAUGUUAUGAGAAGGAGAAGUAAAUAAUGUUUAGCAAGCACUUUGAUAUUUAUGACCAGUGGCUGUAAACAGUUAUUAAAAAGUCAUUGAACAGGUCAGAAUGGCAGGUGCAGUGGUGUGGCCAGAGCGAGCCAGAAAAGCAGGAUCUUUCUGCCUCUGGAGAAAGAGAUACAUGUGAAAAUGUUCUAUUCCUGAUUAAACAUUUUAUUUUUAAAUGUUUACAGUUAAGAGUUAGGAUUCCACUAGCAUCCAUGAGGAUGUGGGUUUGAUCCCUAGCCUUGCUCAGUGGAUUAAAGGAUCCGGCGUUGCAGUGAACUGUGAUGAAGGUUGCAGACGCAGCUUGGAUCCACUGUUGCUGUGGCUGUGGUGUAGGCCGGCGGCUAUAGCUCCGAUUGGACCCCUAUCCUGGGAACCUCCAUAUGCCAUGGGCGCGGCCUUAAAAAGGCAAAAGACCAAAAAAAAAAAAAAAA
ensembl:lncRNA